rnacentral:rRNA from 1 species
GAUGAACGCUGGCGGCGUGCCUAAUACAUGCAAGUCGAGCGAACAGACGAGGAGCUUGCUCCUCUGACGUUAGCGGCGGACGGGUGAGUAACACGUGGAUAACCUACCUAUAAGACUGGGAUAACUUCGGGAAACCGGAGCUAAUACCGGAUAAUAUAUUGAACCGCAUGGUUCAAUAGUGAAAGACGGUUUUGCUGUCACUUAUAGAUGGAUCCGCGCCGCAUUAGCUAGUUGGUAAGGUAACGGCUUACCAAGGCAACGAUGCGUAGCCGACCUGAGAGGGUGAUCGGCCACACUGGAACUGAGACACGGUCCAGACUCCUACGGGAGGCAGCAGUAGGGAAUCUUCCGCAAUGGGCGAAAGCUUGACGGAGUAACGCCGCGUGAGUGAUGAAGGUCUUCGGAUCGUAAAGCUCUGUUAUUAGGGAAGAACAAAUGUGUAAGUAACUAUGCACGUCUUGACGGUACCUAAUCAGAAAGCCACGGCUAACUACGUG